GACGAACGCUGGCGGCGUGCUUAACACAUGCAAGUCGAACGGAAAGGCCCUUCGGGGUACUCGAGUGGCGAACGGGUGAGUAACACGUGGGUGAUCUGCCCUGCACUUUGGGAUAAGCCUGGGAAACUGGGUCUAAUACCGAAUAGGACCACGCGCUUCAUGGUGUGUGGUGGAAAGCUUUUGCGGUGUGGGAUGGGCCCGCGGCCUAUCAGCUUGUUGGUGGGGUAAUGGCCUACCAAGGCGACGACGGGUAGCCGGCCUGAGAGGGUGACCGGCCACACUGGGACUGAGAUACGGCCCAGACUCCUACGGGAGGCAGCAGUGAGGAAUAUUGCACAAUGGGCGGAAGCAGGAUGCAGCGACGCCGCGUGGGGGAUGACGGCCUUCGGGUUGUAAAACUCUUUCACCAGGGACGAAGCGUAAGUGACGGUACCUGGAGAAGAAGCACCGGCCAACUACGU
rnacentral:rRNA from 1 species